rnacentral:snoRNA from 1 species
AGCCAGAAUUUAUUUUAAGAUUGCAUCACAGUGAUUGCAAUUCUUUGUUAUUUUGGCAACAUUAAUUUGAAGUUUUGCUUCCAUACCUGGUCUAACUUGUGACAGGUGUGGCAAUGAUAACUGCUACAUUA